UAGUCACUUGAAGACACCCAUAUCCC
rnacentral:piRNA from 1 species